rnacentral:tRNA from 1 species
GAUAAGGUGGCUGAAGUUUAGGCUGUAAAUUGUAAAUUUAUAUAUGGUAAAACCUCUUAUCA